rnacentral:lncRNA from 1 species
GGUAAUUACUGAAGGAAAAAAUCCGUCGGUAAAUACUGCGAUCAGGUUCAUCAUCUUCCUCUCCCCCCUUCUUCUUUCCUUCAUUUUUUUCCAGUCCAAAAAAAUGAAGACAUUACAACCAAAUUUCAUAUAGAUUCUAACAAUUUUAUAAGCUGCAUGAAAAUUUAUCAUACUGUUUUUAUUCAUUAUUCCACUUUGCUUUGUUUUAUAAUUUUAUUUUCACCUAAUUACCAUUACCAUUACAACAAUGUCAUACAAAAAAAAAGAGAGAGGAAACGAGAAGUCGGGUUUGGAUGCAUUAUGUGUGGCACAACAACAAUGGAAGAAUAGAAGCAUCAAUGGAGAAGACGGAGGCAUGAUUCAACGGAGAAGAUGACGGCGACGGCAUGGCUGGACGAAGAUGGUGGCUGCGACAUAACACAAUCGAGACGGUGUGAGAGAAAUGGAGAAGUGGGGAAAGAGAAGAAAAAGUGGGAAGUGGGAAAGAAGAGUCUACAAUGAAAGAGAAAGUGGUAGAAAAUUUUUUAUAAGGUGUGAUUCACAGCAAGAGAGAAAGGCUAGGUGGGAAAACUCCCACUAUUUUUACGUUGCAUUACCGACGGAUUUACCGACGACCUUUUGUCUUUGGUUAGUGACAUGCACAUUCUGAGGAAUUUACCGAUGGCCUUUUUCCUUGGGUAAGUGACAUGCACAUUACCGAUGGCCUUUUCCUUUGGUAAGUGAUGCACAUUACCGACGAAUUUACCGAUGGCCUUUUUCCUUCGGUAAAAAAACUCAAAAUCCAUCGAUAAAUCUGU